rnacentral:rRNA from 1 species
GCAAGUCGAACGGAAACAGGACGCUAGGAUCCCUUCGGGGUGACUUUGUCGCUGUCCAGUGGCGGACGGGUGAGUAAUGCAUAGGAAUUUGCCUUGAAGUGGGGGAUAGCCCGGAGAAAUCCGGAUUAAUACCGCAUGCGCUCUACGGAGCAAAGCGGGCCUCUGAUUUAAGCUCGUGCUUUGAGAUAAGCCUAUGUCGGAUUAGCUAGUUGGUGGGGUAAAGGCCUACCAAGGCGACGAUCCGUAGCUGGUUUGAGAGGAUGAUC